GAAGCAGGCCAGACAGUCGCUGGCUGACGUGUAAUGCGUCGGCGGGAGGAAGGUCCGGACUCCAUAGAGCAGGGUGACGGUUAAUGGCCGUCCGCCGCAAGGCGAGGAAUAGGGCCACAGAGACGAGCGUAUUAAGUUACGGUGAAACGCGGUAACCUCCACCUGGAGCAAUCCCAAAUAGGCACGCGUUGAGGCGGCCUGCUGGAGCGUGCGGGUAGGGAGCUUGAGCGCAGGAGUAAUUUUGCGCCUAGAGGAAUGGCUGUCAUAGUGAAUGCCCGCAAGGGCGGACGCCGUAACAAAAUCCGGCCUAUCGGCUUGCUUCACUU
rnacentral:RNase_P_RNA from 1 species